AUGUAACCGGACCUUACGGGUGCCGUCAAACGCAGCGGAUGGGAAUGGGAGAUAUCAUACACCCGAUGUUUAUUUACUUUUGUUGCUUUGGCGGGCCGUCCUCUUAGGCGUCGGCCCCGGCUGAUCGCGCCCGCCAGAGGACCCAAACUCUUUUAUCAGUGAUGUCUGAGUACUAUAUAAUAGUUA
rnacentral:misc_RNA from 1 species